GGUUAAGCGACUAAGCGUACACGGUGGAUGCCCUGGCAGUCAGAGGCGAUGAAGGGCGUGCUAAUCUGCGAUAAGCGCCGGUAAGGUGAUAUGAACCGUUAUAACCGGCGAUACCCGAAUGGGGAAACCCAGUGUGACUCGUCACACUAUCAUUAACUGAAUCCAUAGGUUAAUGAGGCGAACCGGGGGAACUGAAACAUCUAAGUACCCCGAGGAAAAGAAAUCAACCGAGAUUCCCCCAGUAGCGGCGAGCGAACGGGGAGGAGCCCAGAGCCUGAAUCAGCAUGUGUGUUAGUGGAAGCGUCUGGAAAGGCGCGCGAUACAGGGUGACAGCCCCGUACACAAAAGCGCAUGUGCUGUGAGCUCGAUGAGUAGGGCGGGACACGUGGUAUCCUGUCUGAAUAUGGGGGGACCAUCCUCCAAGGCUAAAUACUCCUGACUGACCGAUAGUGAACCAGUACCGUGAGGGAAAGGCGAAAAGAACCCCGGCGAGGGGAGUGAAAAAGAACCUGAAACCGUGUACGUACAAGCAGUGGGAGCACC
rnacentral:rRNA from 2 species